rnacentral:rRNA from 1 species
AACGAACGCUGGCGGCAUGCCUAACACAUGCAAGUCGAACGAGACCUUCGGGUCUAGUGGCGAACGGGUGCGUAACGCGUGGGAACCUGCCCUUAGGUUCGGAAUAACUCCCCGAAAGGGGUGCUAAUACCGGAUAAUGUCUUCGGACCAAAGAUUUAUCGCCUUUGGAUGGGCCCGCGUUGGAUUAGCUAGUUGGUAGGGUAAAAGCCUACCAAGGCGACGAUCCAUAGCUGGUCUGAGAGGAUGAUCAGCCACACUGGGACUGAGACACGGCCCAGACUCCUACGGGAGGCAGCAGUGGGGAAUAUUGGACAAUGGGCGAAAGCCUGAUCCAGCAAUGCCGCGUGAGUGAUGAAGGCCUUAGGGUUGUAAAGCUCUUUUACCCGGGAUGAUAAUGACAGUACCGGGAGAAUAAGCUCCGGCUAACUCCGU